GUUUUCCAUGGCAUAAAAGAUCCCACCAAUGGGAGCACAGUAUGCAGGGGCAUCUGAAUGGGAGCUGAUCUUGGAGAAGGAUAAAGAAGUUCUUGUUUCAAGGGGGCCAAAGAAGAUGUGGAGCAUAGACAAUGGAGAAGUUUUUGUUAAGAAACAGACAAAAUGUUUUCUGUCCUGAAGAAGGAAGAGGAGGAUAAAGAAGUAGCAGAGGACAACAUGGAAGGAAAACAGAACAAAAGCAAGUUUCACAGUACUCUGCAGUGUUCUACUCCUGUAAGCUUACAGCAGUCACUGCUGGAAUCAGGAACAGAAGAAUGUGCUUCUACCUGUCCAGUGUCAGUCUAUGUCAUGAGGAUGUGCUUGGACAUGAGGACCUGGGAAGAUGAGAGAGCUGCAGGCACUGAUGGCUUUGAAGUCAACUCCAACAGGACUCCUGCAUCUUCAUUUAGGUACCAAAAUCAAAGGCUUCCUCACCAGCAGUGCUAUAAGGUCAUGCAUGUUGAUAUUCAGAUUGGACCUAAUGCAGAACAAACUCUUCUGGAGAAAAAUCACCUCCUCUCCUGUUAGCCAUGCCUUACUUCCUGAUGCAGAAAAGGAUUUGGAGGAGUCAGCAGAAGAUAUUAUUGCUGCCUUGGCCUGGCCUUUUUGAAAGAGGAAUACCUGAAAGACUCCACACGCUAAGAAGGUUUCUGACCAGUGCAGACAGUGCUUUUACAGGCAGCCCCAUCUUCCUAGAAGAUAAAAGCGGAUAAUAGCCAUCCAGGAAAAGUUUUGUUUGGAAAUAGCUAUUAUAUAAGAAUGCUGAGCAGAUAGAGG
rnacentral:lncRNA from 1 species